rnacentral:piRNA from 1 species
UGCCUAUUUUUGAUGUUUUGUGUAAA